CGGGGAGCUUGAACAGGUGCUGCAUGGCUGUCGUCAGCUCGGGUCGUGAGAUGUUCGGUUAAGUCCCGCUAACGAGCGCAACCCUCGCUGUGUGUUACAAGUGUCACACGGAACUGCCGGUCAUAAACCGGAGGAAGGUGGGGAUGACGUCAAGUCAGCAUGGCCUUUUAUAUCCUGGGCUACACACACGCUACAAUGGGAAGGGACAAUAGGUUGCGAAACCGCGAGGUGGAGCCAAUCCAGCAAAACUUCCCUCAGUUCAGAUUGCAGGCUGCAACUCGCCUGCAUGAAGUUGGAGUUGCUAGUAAACGCAGGUCAGCCAUACUGCGUUGAAUACGUUCCCGGGGCUU
rnacentral:rRNA from 1 species